UGACGUCAUCAGCUAGUUUUUUUAAGUUCUAAUUUAAUCUAUAAAGAAAUAGUAAUAAAGUAUCUUGCUGAAACAUUAAAUGAUUCAAAGUCAAAGGAUUGACUUGGUUGACAACUGAUUUCGCGUGUUUAUUACUUGCAUAAAAUGCGCGUGCACUGCCGUCACACCCUGAGUACUCCCCCCUCUAACUGGAAUGGGUACCAGCCGAGCAUGAGUCGAUUGGGUGGAGGAGGAAUGCAGCAAAACUGUCAUGGGACAAAGCAAUAAAGAAGUGGCUAAAGCAAACUUUGACCUACAUGAACCGCACUGUCGGAGGUUUCUGUGCCUGUGUCCUGACUGUGAUGACACUGUCCCGCGAGAGCUGCUGGAAGAACAUAAAUCUGAACAACACGCACAGGUAAAAUGUCAAAAGUGCAAUAAAAAAAUGGAACGAAGGCAUCUGUUGGACCACGAGACAGCUGAGUGCUCAGAACGGCUACAGAGCUGUGAGUAUUGUGGUCUAGAGCUUCCUCUGAAUGGCCUAUUGAAGCACAGUUUGUCCUGUGGGAGCCGCACAGAGCGCUGCCAUGACUGUGGCCGUUACGUCCAGUUUAAAGACCAGCUUAAACACACAAACAACUGCUCAAAAACCCACCCAAGGUCAAAGAGUUCAAGCUCUGAAGACGAUGAAACUAAUGAUGAGUUCACCUCAAGAUGUUGGAAAUGUCAGCAGUCCAUUCCUUUAGAUAGUCUAGAUGAGCAUGAGCUGGACUGCAAAAAUGCCUUACAGUUUAUUAGAAAGGAUGUUGAUUUUGAUGACACUGCAGACUUCUCAUUCUCAAAGUAUCAAAGGGUAAAGAGAGAAAACCAUAUGGAGGAGCUUGAUAAAAUAGGCACCUGUAAACUCUGUCACCUGGCACUUCCCAUUAAGAUUCUUAAAUGGCAUCAGCAAAAAUGUGAAUUAAAUAAGCAUCUGAGCCUCGCACAAUGAAGACUGGUGCAAGCAGAACUAAGAAUGGUAGCUGGGAAUAUGAUUAAAAACUUAAUAAUCACAAAUGAGGGUGUGACAUCACAAUUGCAAUAAUAUUAAACACUUUAAAUAAUUAAAGUUAAAGGAUACUGUUUGGUUUCAGUGUGAUAAUAGCCUAAGUUAAGCAACUUAGAUCCCUACGUAGGAGAAAUAUUACUAGAAGUUUUUGAAAUAUGCAAUAUGUAUAUAUGUUGUUUGAAGUAUCUCCUUUUUUUCAUCACUUUGUGCUUGAUAUAUCUGAACAGACUUCAAUUUUGAUUUUGUUGCAAUAAAGAUAUAAAAAGACUUAUAAAAAAGA